AUUCCGGUUGAUCCUGCCGGAGGCCAUUGCUAUCGGAGUUCGACUUAGCCAUGCUAGUCGCGCGGGUUUAGACCCGCGGCAAAUAGCUCAGUAACACGUGGCCAAACUGCCCUACAGAUCGGAAUAACCUCGGGAAACUGAGGCUAAUGCCGAAUAGGACUUUCAGGUUGGAGUGCCGAGAGUUCGAAACGCUACGGCGCUGUAGGAUGUGGCUGCGGCCGAUUAGGUAGACGGUGGGGUAACGGCCCACCGUGCCGAUAAUCGGUACAGGUUGUGAGAGCAAGAGCCUGGAGACGGAAUCUGAGACAAGAUUCCGGGCCCUACGGGGCGCAGCAGGCGCGAAACCUUUACACUGCACGACAGUGCGAUAGGGGAACUCCGAGUGCGAGGGCAUAGAGCCCUCGCUUUUCCACACCGUAAGGUGGUGCGGGAACAAGUGCUGGGCAAGACCGGUGCCAGCCGCCGCGGUAAUACCGGCAGCACAAGUGGUGGCCGAUUUUAUUGGGCCUAAAGCGUCCGUAGCUGGCCGUGCAAGUCUGUCGGGAAAUCCAGUGGCUCAACCUCUGGGCUUCCGGCGGAAACUGCUCGGCUUGGGACCGGAAGACUCGAGGGGUACGUUCGGUGUAGGAGUGAAAUCCUGUAAUCCUGAACGGACCACCGAUGGCGAAAGCACCUCGAGAGCACGGAUCCGACAGUGAGGGACGAAAGCUAGGGUCUCGAACCGGAUUAGAUACCCGGGUAGUCCUAGCUGUUAACGAUGCCCGCUCGGUUCGGCGCAGGCUACGAGCCUGUGCCGCGCCUCAGUGAAGACGUAAGCGGGCCGCCUGGGAAGUACGUCCGCAAGGAUGAAACUUAAAGGAAUUGGCGGGGGAGCACUACAACCGGAGGAGCCUGCGGUUUAAUUGGACUCAACGCCGGACAUCUCACCAGCACCGACAACGGUAAUGAUGGUCAGGUUGAUGACCUUACCGGACGCCGUUGAGAGGAGGUGCAUGGCCGCCGUCAGCUCGUACCGUGAGGCAUCCUGUUAAGUCAGGCAACGAGCGAGACCCGCGUCCGUAAUUGCCAGCAGCACCCUUGUGGUGGCUGGGUACAUUACGGAGACUGCCACGGCUAACGUGGAGGAAGGAACGGCCAACGGUAGGUCAGCAUGCCCCGAAUGUGCUGGGCAACACGCGGGCUACAAUGGCCUGGACAGUGGGUUGCAACACCGAGAGGUGGCGCUAAUCCCCUAAACCGGGUCGUAGUUCGGAUUGAGGACUGAAACUCGUCCUCAUGAAGCUGGAUUCGGUAGUAAUCGCGUGUCAGAAGCGCGCGGUGAAUACGUCCCUGCUCCUUGCACACACCGCCCGUCAAAUCACCCGAGUGGGGUCCGGAUGAGGCCAUCAUGCGAUGGUCGAAUCUGGGCUCCGCAAGGGGGAUUAAGUCGUAACAAGGUAGCCGUAGAGGAAUCUGCGGCUGGAUCACCUCCU
rnacentral:rRNA from 1 species